rnacentral:pre_miRNA from 1 species
UAACCUCCACAGCCUGGCCAGCCCCGAGGCUGGGCUGGGUCAGUAUCUGUUGGGAAUGCUCACCCUCAAGCAUGACUAGGAGC